UACGUAGGGGGCAAGCGUUGUCCGGAUUUAUUGGGCGUAAAGAGCGUGUAGGCGGCUAGAUAGGUCCGUUGUGAAAACUCGAGCUCAACCUCGAGACGCCGGUGGAAACCAUCUAGCUAGAGUCCGGAAGAGGAGAGUGGAAUUCCUGGUGUAGCGGUGAAAUGACGCAGAUAUCAGGAAGAACACCCGUGGCGAAGGCGGCUCUCUGGACGUGACUGACGCUGAGACGCGAAAGCGUGGGGAGCGAACAGG
rnacentral:rRNA from 1 species